rnacentral:rRNA from 1 species
GACGAACGCUGGCGGCGUGCUUAACACAUGCAAGUCGAACGGAAAGGCCCUGCUUUUGUGGGGUGCUCGAGUGGCGAACGGGUGAGUAACACGUGAGUAACCUGCCCUUGACUUUGGGAUAACUUCAGGAAACUGGGGCUAAUACCGGAUAGGAGCUCCUGCUGCAUGGUGGGGGUUGGAAAGUUUCGGCGGUUGGGGAUGGACUCGCGGCUUAUCAGCUUGUUGGUGGGGUAGUGGCUUACCAAGGCUUUGACGGGUAGCCGGCCUGAGAGGGUGACCGGCCACAUUGGGACUGAGAUACGGGCCAGACUCCUACGGGAGGCAGCGGUGGGGAAUAUUGCACAAUGGGCGGAAGCCUGAUGCAGCAACGCCGCGUGCGGGAUGACGGCCUUCGGGUUGUAAACCGCUUUCGCCUGUGACGAAGCGUGAGUGACGGUAAUGGGUAAAGAAGCACCGGCUAACUACGUG